CACUCAUCUGCCUCAAAUUAAAAAUCAAUUGUAUCAGUCAGUUGCCUUAGGCACAUUCAGAGUUAUCAGUCAAUUUGAACCUCUUUAGUCAGAUGCCUUUCAUACCCUAAUAUUUGGAAAGACCAACUCUCAAAGAUUUCAUUGGACAUCUCUUUUUUUAAUUUAAAAAGUGAAACUGAUUAGCUGAUUAUUUGUAUCCUUCUAUCACUGAUUGCUUUACCAUCUCAGUUUCAGGAACACGGCGGUUAGGAUCACUCCACUUCUUUGGCAAGAUGGCGAUGUCAUAGCGGCAUUUUAAGGGCUUUGCCGUGAACUACUGUUAACAACACAACAGUUUAUGAUGCAGAAAGGUGAUGAGGAGCAGAGGGACCUGCCAAAUGCUUGCCUCAGACAGAUUUGCAAUGACAUGUCAGAGUGUGAAGAAAAGACUGAGGCCUCGUCCAGGGAGCUCAUCUCACAUAGAAAAAGAUGUAAUUUUGACUCAAUUUAUUAUGCAUCAAUUCUGAAUAAAACACGCUAGCUAGAACCAGUCAAGGGAAUUUAGAAGUCAACGGCAGAUAUCCAUUUUACAACUGGAAGAUCUUCCUUCACUUCGUGGAUUUAGAAGCUAGUUUGUUUAUGCUGGCUUUUGUGUGACAAUACAAAUAAGUCAUGGUUCUCAUGGGAAAAAAAUAGAAAAAGUUGUAGUUUUUGCAUUUUCUCUGACUUUUUUUUCAUUCAUGCCUUUCAUUUCAGAUUUUUUGAUAAAUGUCUGCUAUUCACGGAAAUAAGUUUAGCUGCGGUAUCAAAAAAAUAUAAAACCAUGACCACUUGGUCUUGAUGAGUUGGAUUGUGGGUUUUCUGUUUUUUAAACUAAGGGCUUUUGGGGAAACUACUGCUUCAGUACUACUAAACGGCUCAGAACUUAAGCAGAAUGAAAGCACUAUAACACAGUAUGGAGGUACGCCUUUCCCUGCUCAGAGUAUUGUAGUUAGACUUUCCUUGUCCUAGAGGGUCUGCUCGACUUUUAGGAUUAUGCAAUAUCUCUUUGGUAAGCGAUUUGCGAUAAGAGCCCUGAAUCAAAAAGCAACACGACACACAUGCUGCUAAGGAAACAAAGCAAUAGGGGUUUGGGUCUGUAAAUAAAGUGGAGAAGUGUUAAGGUUAUACCACUUAUCAGGCAGGCAGCAACAAAAUUAGUCAUCAUGAGCAAACACUGGGGUAUAUUAUUACAUGAUACUUGAGAAUAUUUGUUUUGUUUUUUUUCUGCCCCAAGAUUAUACACAGGAGGUAAAUACAUAUUGGCUUAGAUUUCUAAGAAACCAAAUUUGAUAUUUUUUUCAGCAGACAGGUGGGAAAGAAAUAUAAUUGAACCAAUUUUGCCAUACUAUUGUAUAUUACUGGUAAUUAUGUAAAAUAUACAACUUCCAAUGUAAGCCCAUAUGCCUGAAUAUGUCGCAAAAUGGAAACCUUUCAAUGUGCACCUAAAAUUUUUUACAUUGUUUUCAUUUAUGCCUGAUUUAUUGCAUUUUAGUGCUGUUCUCUGUUUAAGCAAUAUAUUCUAAGUUCUGCACUAGUCUCAAGCAUCUUAAGCCAUAACUUUAACUGUGGAAAGGGAAAGGCUGUUUUUAUCCUAAAUCAAUUGUAAUAAAACCUAAACAGUAAACUGUAGAGGCUGGAAUUUAACAGUCUUAGGUGUAUUUAUGGGACCUUUUGAUACAUAAACAAUCUGAAUUUACUGUUUAACACUGAAUAGAACACAGACAUUACAUAUAAGUUUGUUGGGUUACUGGUCUGAAAGUGAUAUCUUUAAAAUCAAUAAAAUAUUUCAACCUGCUGGAA